rnacentral:rRNA from 1 species
GACGAACCCUGGCGGCGUGCUUAACACAUGCAAGUCGAACGGAAAGGCCCUGCUUUUGUGGGGUGCUCGAGUGGCGAACGGGUGAGUAACACGUGAGUAACCUGCCCUUGACUUUGGGAUAACUUCAGGAAACUGGGGCUAAUACCGGAUAGGAGCUCCUGCUGCAUGGUGGGGGUUGGAAAGUUUCGGCGGUUGGGGAUGGACUCGCGGCUUAUCAGCUUGUUGGUGGGGUAGUGGCUUACCAAGGCUUUGACGGGUAGCCGGCCUGAGAGGGUGACCGGCCACAUUGGGACUGAGAUACGGCCCAGACUCCUACGGGAGGCAGCAGUGGGGAAUAUUGCACAAUGGGCGGAAGCCUGAUGCAGCAACGCCGCGUGCGGGAUGACGGCCUUCGGGGUGUAAACCGCUUUCGCCUGUGACGAAGCGUGAGUGACGGUAAUGGGUAAAGAAGCACCGGCUAACUACG